CAGACAAACGUGAGCUUGCUCGUCGGUAUAUGGAUUUGGGAGAAGAAUAUUUCAGAGACUUGGUGCUGGUUACCUUUUCGCAGUUUCUCCGGAAGUACCCAUUAGAUGAUAUUAG